rnacentral:misc_RNA from 1 species
GAUGAAGAACGUAGCGAAAUGCGAUAAGUAAUGUGAAUUGCAGAAUUCAGUGAAUCAUCGAAUCUUUGAACGCACCUUGCACCCUUUGGCAUUCCGAAGGGUAUGCUCGUUUGAGUGUCAUUGUACUCUCACACUUCCAAUCUUUGGAUUGGGAGCAGUGGACUUGGGUGUUGCUGCUUACUGUGGCUCACCUCAAAUCGAUUCGUGCACCUCUUGGUUGGACAUAGUACGGCGUGAUAAGUGUCUUCGCCGGCACCUCAGUAGAGGGUGGCUGAUCAGGAGCUCUGUGCUUCAAACCGUCCUCGGACAAAAACUGACAACUUGACCUCAAAUCGAGUAGGACUACCCGCUGAACUUAAGCAUAUCAAUAAGCGGAGG